rnacentral:rRNA from 1 species
AUUGAACGCUGGCGGCAGGCCUAACACAUGCAAGUCGAGCGGAGCGGCGGACGGGUGAGUAAUGCCUAGGAAUCUGCCUGGUAGAGGGGGAUAACGUCCGGUAACGGGCGCUAAUCCCGCAUACUUUCAGAUGAGCCUAGGUCGGAUUAGCGAGUUGGUGGGGUAAAGGCCUACCAAGGCGACGAUCCGUAACUGGUCUGAGAGGAGGAUCAGUCACACUGGAACUGAGACACGGUCCAGACUCCUACGGGAGGCAGCAGUGGGGAAUAUUGGACAAUGGGCGAAAGCCUGAUCGAGCCAUGCCGCGUGUGUGAAGAAGGUCUUCGGAUUGUAAAGCACUUUAAGUUGGGAGGCGUUACCAACAGAAAAAGCACCGGCUAACUUCGUGCCAGCAGCCGCGGUAAUUC